UUAUGUCUUUGAACGAAAGUAGAAUUCAAUGAUGUUGGGUUCUUUGAAUUAGGUACCUUCUACAAGAGAAAAAGAGAGGAAAGGCUCUAGACUCUGUUGCAAAUUUUCACUUGCAAAAUGGAGCGAUGAUUGAGAGGAUAAAUUGGAUGGCAGAUCGAUCAGAAAAAGGCCUCAAUCAAAGUGCUGGUAUCAUGGUGAACUAUGUGUACAGGCUAGGGCAUAUUGAAGAAUAUGCUCAAUCAUAUUUCAGCACUGGGAAUAUCCAUGCAU